GACGAACGCUGGCGGCGUGCUUAACACAUGCACGUCGAGCGGAGCGGCGCACGGGUGAGUAACACGUGAGUAACUGCCCCCCUCUCUGGGAUAACAUUUGGGAACGGCAACUAAUACCGGAUAGUGUGGGAUGACUCGCGUCCUAUCAGCUUGUGGGUGGGGUGGUGGCCAACACAGGCGACGACGGGUAGCCGGCCUGAGCGGGCGACCGGCCACAAUGGGCUGAGAGACGGCCCAAACUCGUACGGGAGGCAGCAGGGGGGAAUAUUGCACAAUGGGGGAAACCCGGAUGCAGAAACGCCGCGGGCGGGAUGACGGCCUUCGGGUUGUAAACCGCUUUCAGCCAUGACGCGGUAGUGGCAGAAGAAGCACCGGCUAACUACGUGCCAGCAGCCGCGGUAAUUC
rnacentral:rRNA from 1 species